rnacentral:rRNA from 1 species
ACGCGAAGAACCUUACCAAGUCUUGACAUCCCGAUGACAGAUUAUGUAAUGUAGCUUCUCUUCGGAGCAUCGGUGACAGGUGGUGCAUGGUUGUCGUCAGCUCGUGUCGUGAGAUGUUGGGUUAAGUCCCGCAACGAGCGCAACCCCUGUCCUUAGUAGCCAGCGGUUCGGCCGGGCACUCUAGGGAGACUGCCAGGGAUAACCUGGAGGAAGGCGGGGAUGACGUCAAAUCAUCAUGCCCCUUAUGACUUGGGCUACACACGUGCUACAAUGGCGUAAACAAAGGGAAGCAAAGCCGUGAGGCCGAGCAAAUCUCAAAAAUAACGUCUCAGUUCGGACUGUAGUCUGCAACCCGACUACACGAAGCUGGAAUCGCUAGUAAUCGCAGAUCAGAAUGCUGCGGUGAAUACGUUCCCGGGUCUUGUACACACC